rnacentral:rRNA from 1 species
GUGCCAGCAGCCGCGGUAAUACAGAGACGUCGAGCGUUGUUCGGAUUCAUUGGGCGUAAAGGGUGCGUAGGCGGUGAGGUAAGUCGGAUGUGAAAUCCCAAGGCUUAACCUUGGAAGUGCAUCCGAAACUACCUUGCUUGAGGACUGGAAGGGAGACUGGAAUUCUCGGUGUAGCGGUGAAAUGCGUAGAUAUCGAGAGGAACACCUGUGGCGAAGGCGGGUCUCUGGACAGUUCCUGACGCUGAGGCACGAAAGCCAGGGGAGCAAACGGGAUUAGAUACCCCUGUAGUCC